UAUACACAUUCGAAUAUGAAGGUUUUUACAUCAAACACACGCUUAUUAUAAACGCCAUCUUCGGCCCUCUCUCCACACUUUUACACACUCUCUCUCUCUCUCUGCUUAGAUUCUGCUGAACAAACGAUGGCUGACCCGGAACUAGAAGCUCUCAGGCAAAGAAGAAUGCAGGAACUAAUGGCCAAACAAGGCGGUGGAAGUCAGCAAAAUCCUGAUCAGCAGAAGGCUCAGGAAGAAGCCAAAAGUGAGGCAGAUGAGCGAAGGCAAAUGAUGCUCAGUCAGAUAUUGACAUCUCAAGCACGUGAAAGAAUUGCUCGGAUUGCUUUAGUGAAGCCUGAGAAGGCUCGAGGAGUUGAAGAUGUUAUACUAAGGGCUGCCCAAAUGGGUCAAAUUGUUGAGAAGGUUUCUGAAGAGAGGCUCAUAUCAUUGUUGGAGCAAAUUAACACCCAAACAACCAAACAGACCAAAGUUACAAUUCAGAGGCGUCGGAGUGUGCUUGACGAUGAUGAUUAGGCUAUUUCAUGUAAAUUUGUUGCGUAUGUUUACAUGCACUGAAUACUCAAUUUGUGACAGGGUCAUUUCUAAACACCUCUUAAGAUCUUAAUAUUCAAGUAGAUACAUGUUUUUUUAUUUCUUGGUCUCAAGAGUGGAGGAUGUUAAGAAGCCAGUGAACCCAUUCGUGGUCCUUGCACGCUUUUUCAUUGGUGCACUACGUCCUAGUCCCUGUUUACAUGUGGCUCAAGGACCAAAUAGUUCCAAGGUCAUGAGGUUAUAUGGUGUAUUAUGAUUUGUUAAUGGUUGUUUACAUUGGUUGUUGGUAUCUGGUCUUUACUGGCAAACCCUUGAGGUUAGGUUAUAUGGUGCAUUAUGGUUUGAUGUUAUGGAGGAAUAGGGUUGAUUGAUCCUCCAAACGCAACUCUAUUAAGAACGUUAAGUGAUAAGUUGAUUGACCCUAAUGGUGAAGUUAGACUAUUUUUAAGUCA